CCUACGGGUGGCUGCAGUCGAGAAUCAUUCACAAUGGGGGAAACCCUGAUGGUGCGACGCCGCGUGGGGGAAUGAAGGUCUUCGGAUUGUAAACCCCUGUCAUGUGGGAGCAAAUUAAAAAGAUAGUAACACAAGAGGAAGAGACGGCUAACUCUGUGCCAGCAGCCGCGGGAAUACAGAGGGCUCAAGCGGUGUUCGGAAUCACUGGGCGUAAAGCGUGCGGAGGCUGUUUCGUAAGGCGUGUGUGAAAGGCGCGGGCUCAACCCGCGGACGGCACAUGAUACUGCGAGACUAGAGUAAUGGAGGGGGAAGCGGAAGUCGCGGUGUAGCAGUGAAAUGCGUAGAUAUCGAGAGGAACACUCGUGGCGAAGGCGGGUUCCUGGACAUUAACUGACGCUGAGGCACGAAGGCCAGGGGAGCGAAAGGGAUUAGAUACCCCUGUAGUC
rnacentral:rRNA from 1 species